rnacentral:rRNA from 1 species
UUCCGGUUGAUCCUGCCGGACCUGACUGCUAUCGGAUUGAUACUAAGCCAUGCGAGUCAUUGUAGCAAUACAAGGCAGACGGCUCAGUAACGCGUAGUCAACCUACCCUAUGGACGGGGAUAACCUCGGGAAACUGAGAAUAAUACCCGAUAGAACAUUAUACCUGGAAUGGUUUAUGUUUCAAAUAAUUUAUUGCCGUAGGAUGGGACUGCGGCCUAUCAGUUUGUUGGUGAGGUAAUGGCCCACCAAGACUAUUACAGGUACGGGCUCUGAGAGGAGUAGCCCGGAGAUGGGUACUGAGACACGGACCCAGGCCCUAUGGGGCGCAGCAGGCGAGAAAACUUUGCAAUGUGCGAAAGCACGACAAGGUUAAUCCGAGUGGUUUCUGCUAAAGGAACCUUUUGUUAGUCAUAGAACCACUAAUGAAUAAGGGGUGGGCAAGUUCUGGUGUCAGCCGCCGCGGUAAAACCAGCACCUCAAGUGGUCAGGAUGAUUAUUGGGCCUAAAGCAUCCGUAGCCUGCUUUGUUAGUUUUCGGUUAAAUCCAUACGCUCAACGUAUGGGCUGCCGGGAAUACUGCAAAGCUAGGGAGUGGGAGAGGUAGACGGUACUCGGUAGGAAGGGGUAAAAUCCUUUGAUCUAUUGAUGACCACCUGUGGCGAAGGCGGUCUACCAGAACACGUCCGACGGUGAGGGAUGAAAGCUGGGGGAGCAAACCGGAUUAGAUACCCGGGUAGUCCCAGCUGUAAACUAUGCAAACUCGGUGAUGCAUUGGCUUGAUGCCAAUGCAGUGCCGCAGGGAAGCCGUUAAGUUUGCCGCCUGGGAAGUACGUACGCAAGUAUGAAACUUAAAGGAAUUGGCGGGGGAGCACCACAAGGGGUGAAGCCUGCGGUUCAAUUGGAUUCAACGCCGGG